AGAUUCAGCUCCUUUUCCUAUUGCCCUCUGUUCCUUCUUUUCCAUGUAACCUGGACCCUCUGAACUGGAAAGAGAUUCUGGUGAGGAGAGGAAGCUGACAGAACCUCACAGAGUGAAUUCCAUCUGCUUAUGCUAUUUCUUCCCUUUCUCCCUACUGUAGCUGUUUUUGUCGUCCUUGUCUUCCUUGCUGUACCUGCCUGUCUCAUCAUCCUGAGGCACCCAGAGAGGAAAGCCCAUAUUCACAAGUUGCCAAGGACAGACCAGGGGAACUAUUCGUGCCCAGGGCUGAAGACCCACAGGAAGUGAUAUACAGUCAGUUGAAUUUGAGAACCUUGAAUAAAAAAAAAGGGAUGCUAAAGAGAUACCCAUAUAAUCUAUGAACUAUGACACUGUAUAUUUAGACUAAAGGUUUGGGCACUUUUCACAAAGGAAUUCUCUCCCUUCUUCUCCUCUUCCACCUUGUCUCCUCUACCUGGUCCUUAUUUGAAGGCACCUUUCCUCAUUGCCAUUGCUGAGGAACCAUGGUAGCUAUUAGGAGCAUCCACUGGGGUAUAGACUUGGACAGAGUAUACCAGUCUAAUGGUGGCUGAGGAGGAAGGAGGAGAAGAGAAUCUGCAACUCAGAGUUUAAAAAAACCAUCAUUGAUAUUAUGAAACACCAGCAGAGAGUGAAUUUCAUUUUUGUUCAUGGUUUGUAGCAAAAUGAUAAUAAUAAUAAUAUUUUACCUCCUGUAACUAUUGCAACCACAUUGAUUUGGGGUCACUAAUUUUUUGAGGGGGUGAGACAAGGGAAAAAGGGUAUCAGUAGUCCAUAUGUUUCUGGCAUAUAUUCAGAGCUGUGUGCAUAUUAUAGUGUUCCUUUGUUAGAAAUGUUUUAUGAUUUUAAAAAUUCAUUUAGUGAAUGUAAAAGUGUUAAAAGUUAUUAUUCAUGUCAUUAGAA